CGACCGCUGGCGGCGUGCUUACCACAUGCAAGUCGACCGGAAAGGCCUGCAGCUUGCUGCGGGUACUCGAGUGGCGAACGGGUGAGUAACACGUGGGUGAUCUGCCUUGCACUUCGGGAUAAGCUUGGGAAACUGGGUCUAAUACCGGAUAGGACAGCUGUUUAGUGUCAGUUGUGGAAAGUUUUUUCGGUGCAAGAUGAGCUCGCGGCCUAUCAGCUUGUUGGUGGGGUAAUGGCCUACCAAGGCGUCGACGGGUAGCCGGCCUGAGAGGGUGUACGGCCACAUUGGGACUGAGAUACGGCCCAGACUCCUACGGGAGGCAGCAGUGGGGAAUAUUGCACAAUGGGCGGAAGCCUGAUGCAGCGACGCCGCGUGGGGGAUGAAGGCCUUCGGGUUGUAAACUCCUUUCGACAGGGACGAAGCUUUUGUGACGGUACCUGUAUAAGAAGCACCGGCUAACUACGUG
rnacentral:rRNA from 1 species